GAUGAACGCUGGCGGCGUGCCUAAUACAUGCAAGUCGAGCGAACAGACGAGGAGCUUGCUCCUCUGACGUUAGCGGCGGACGGGUGAGUAACACGUGGAUAACCUACCUAUAAGACUGGGAUAACUUCGGGAAACCGGAGCUAAUACCGGAUAAUAUAUUGAACCGCAUGGUUCUAUAGUGAAAGACGGUUUUGCUGUCACUUAUAGAUGGAUCCGCGCCGCAUUAGCUAGUUGGUAAGGUAACGGCUUACCAAGGCAACGAUGCGUAGCCGACCUGAGAGGGUGAUCGGCCACACUGGAACUGAGACACGGUCCAGACUCCUACGGGAGGCAGCAGUAGGGAAUCUUCCGCAAUGGGCGAAGGCUUGACGGAGCAACGCCGCGUGAGUGAUGAAGGUCUUCGGAUCGUAAAACUCUGUUAUUAGGGAAGAACAAAUGUGUAAGUAACUAUGCACGUCUUGACGGUACCUAAUCAGAAAGCCACGGCUAACUACGUG
rnacentral:rRNA from 1 species